AUACUCCAUUUUCUCUUCAGAUGUAUAAAUCUUUGCCUUUUACUAAAGAUUUCCGUGGAGAGGAGCAAAAGAAAAAAAGAAUUAACAUAAAACUGUAUAGUAUCUGAAACAUGAGUAGU